UGUGGAAAGUGGCGCACGGGUGAGUAACACGUAGCUGACCUACCCUUCGCAGGGGGAUAACUCAGGGAAACCUGGGCUAAUACCCCGUACGCUCAUGGGAGUUAGACAACCAUGAGGAAAGCUCCGGCGGCGAAGGAGGGGGCUGCGUUCCAUCAGCUUGUUGGUGAGGUAAUGGCUCACCAAGGCUUCGACGGAUAGGGGACCUGAGAGGGUGACCCCCCACACUGGGACUGAGACACGGCCCAG
rnacentral:rRNA from 1 species